rnacentral:rRNA from 1 species
AUUGAACGCUGGCGGCAUGCUUUACACAUGCAAGUCGAACGGCAGCGCGGGCUUCGGCCUGGCGGCGCGUGGCGAACGGGCGAGUAAUACACCGGAACGUGCCCAGUCGUGGGGGAUAGCUCGGCGACAGCCGGAUUAAUAUCGCAUACGACCUGAGGGUGAAAGCGGGGGAUCUUCGGACCUCGCGCGAUUGGAGCGGCCGAUGGCAGAUUAGCUAGUUGGUGGGGUAAAGGCCUACCAAGGCGACGAUCUGUAGCUGCUCUGAGAGGACGACCUGCCACACUGGGACUGAGACACGGUCCAGACUCCUACGGGAGGCAGCAGUGGGGAAUUUUGGGCAAUGGGCGAAAGCCUGAUCCAGCAAUGCCGCGUGUGUGAUGAAGGCCUUCGGGUUGUAAAGCACUUUUGGCGGGAACGAAAAGGACUGUGCCAAUACCACGGUUCGAUGACGGUACCCGCAGAAUAAGCACCGGCUAACUACGUG